UUUUAUUUUGGUGUGCAUCAUCAAAUUGAAUUUUAUUUGGUUGAAUAAAUGUGUGACGAAAAAAUCGUGGCUCAGUUGGACAUAUUAGCUGAUGGACAGUUUCUUUUUAGAAGGAUGAUAAGUCAUAAAGUCAACUCUUUAUGGUACAACAUGUCAUCAAGUCAUAAGUUAAUAGUAUAAACAGCAUCUCUCAAAACGCUUUUUAAUUUUUAAGAUAUCUUUAAAUGCUAUAAAUAAAGGAAUGAGGAAAAGAAAGUUACAAAUUGUGAACUGAAAAUAUACACAAUGAGAAUUUACCGAAACAAAUAUCUAUAUACACAAUAAAUAAUUAGAAUCAAGCUAAAGUGAACUGAGCAUGUAUUCAGUGUCUGAUACAACUGAAUUAUCAUGGACAAAAUCAUGUUUAGAUAUGAUCCUUUUGAAGUGAGUUGAAUGUAAACAAGCCUGGAGAACAAUCCAUUGCUUAUAGAUGACUUUGUCUAGUUUGCCAGCUGACCAAAAAAAAAAAAAAAG